rnacentral:rRNA from 2 species
UUUCCCUCAGGAUAGCUGGCACUCGCUUAAAGCGAGUCUCAUCUGGUAAAGCGAAUGAUUAGAGGCCUCUUGGGGCCGAAACGACCUCAACCUAUUCUCAAACUUUAAAUGGGUGAGAUCUCUGGCUUGCUUGAAACUUGAAGCCACGAGAUUAACAUUGUAAAAUGGAUCAGAGUGCCAAGUGGGCCAAUUUUGGUAAGCAGAACUGGCGCUGUGGGA